rnacentral:rRNA from 1 species
CACGUAGGCGGACUAUUAAGUCAGGGGUGAAAUCCCGGGGCUCAACCCCGGAACUGCCUUUGAUACUGGUAGUCUUGAGUUCGAGAGAGGUGAGUGGAAUUCCGAGUGUAGAGGUGAAAUUCGUAGAUAUUCGGAGGAACACCAGUGGCGAAGGCGGCUCACUGGCUCGAUACUGACGCUGAGGUGCGAAAGCGUGGAGAGCAAACA